GAUUAACGCUGGCGGCGUGCAUAACACAUGCAAGUCGAACGAAGUGGCGGACGGGUGAGUAACGCGUGAGUAACCUGCCUUAGAGAAGGGGAUAGACUUUGGAAACGAAGAAUAAUACCCUAUGCUCUAAGAUGGACUUGCUUCUGAUUGGUUAGUUGGUGGGGUAACGGCACAACAAAACAGCGAUCAGUAGCCGGCGGGAGCGAGAGUACGGCCAUAUUGUGACGGAGACACGGCCCAUACUCUACGGGAGGCAGCAGUGGGGAAUUUUGCACAAUGGGGGAAACCCUUAUGCAGCGACGCCGCGUGGGUGAGAAGGCCUUCGGUUUGUAAACUCCUUUCGACAGGGACGCGGUACCUGUAUAAGAAGCACCGGCUAACUACGUGCCAGCAGCCGCGGUAAUUC
rnacentral:rRNA from 1 species